CGGGUGAAGUGCUCACCGAUAUCCGUGCGCUUACGGAUCAUUUCCUGAUGGCGUUACCAAAUAUCAACAAGCAUUUCUGGCGCCGUUGCCGGGGAGAAAGACAGUUUGCUGAGAUAACUUUAAGUCUUGCUAUUAUCUUGUAUUAUACUUUUAUACUUUUAUUCUUUUAUCUUGUUAUUUUUUCCAUCUUUGUGGAUAACUCAAAUUCUACACCUAUUAUUGAAUUUUUUGCACCUUCGGAGACCAGCCAAAGACCAUGGGAGUCAACAAGUCCUUUCUUU
rnacentral:lncRNA from 1 species